CGAAAUGCGAUAAGUAAUGUGAAUUGCAGAAUUCAGUGAAUCAUCGAAUCUUUGAACGCACCUUGCGCUCCUUGGUAUUCCGAGGAGCAUGCCUGUUUGAGUGUCUUGAAGUCAUCAACCUCCCCCGUUUAGUGCGUGGGGCCGGUUGGAACUUGGGGGCCUGCGGUCGCGAGGCCGCUCCCCCGAAAUGCUUCGGUUGGGCCUGUGGGUCGGACUCGGUCGGGCGUUGUACCAUCCUCGCUCUUAACCCGAGAGGUUCCCCUUUGCGAGCCCUUCCACGGCCGCCUGUAGAGUUGGCGGCCAACCACCUUUGAAAUCUGACCUCAAAUCAGGUAGGACUACCCGCUGAACUUAA
rnacentral:sRNA from 1 species